rnacentral:lncRNA from 1 species
AAAUACUGUUUAUUUACUAUUAAUAGUAUUCCAAGUAAACUUACGAUUUAUAGAAUUGAGUUAGAAUACUUUUAGAAGCACCAAGCUCUUAGUGCUUUUAGAUUUCUAACCCUUGGAUCUACUCCUUAAUUACUAAUAGCCUUUGGAUCAAAUACUAUUCCACCUAUCACCACCUACCACCGUCAUCCCAACUUCACAUCUCUCCAUCCAAUAACUAAAAAUUCAAAAAUAUCACAUUCAUGAUGCUUUUGAGAGUAUUCUAGCUCAACUCCCAUUCAUAUACAUAUAUCUAUUAAUAUCAUUGAUUGUGUAUAGCUAACAAAUGUAAUAGGAAAGGCCCUCUCCUAUACUUUACUAUAAAUCCAUCGAUAUUUAAAUAGAAAAUAAACUAGAGGGUAUAUCAUAGCCGAAUAUUUUAUAAGUUAUCCCCAUUUUAUACCCCCAUUUUGUAAGUUAUUAUUCCACAUUCACACGCUUUAUUAAAGACCAGCUAAUUUGAAGUUUCUGAAUUUGCACAAAACCUGAAGCCCUGGCUUUGUUAAUUAAUCACCAUUUUUUUUUAUCUCUUUUUGAGAUUUUUGUGCCCUAGGUAGGGUGUCUCAGGCUAAGCCCUAGCUUGGUGUAGGGUGUAAUCAUUCCACUCCGCAGAGAAUCCCUGCAAAACCAACAUAUCCCGUGUUCUCACACAGACUCAGCAUGCAGCUUCUUCCUCCCUCUCUCUCUCUCUUCUACUCUCUCACCGUUCCCUCUCUCUCUCUGCUCUCUCCUCUCUCCCUCUUCUCUCUCUCUCUCUUCUCUCUCUCGCUCCUCCAUCAUCACUAUUAUACGUCUCAGAAGUGACAACACAGCUGCAUGAUAUAAUAUGUAUAUAUAUAUUAAUAUAUAUAUAUAUAUAUAUAUAUAAUAUAUGUGCUUUGCCAUUGUUGCUUUCUUGCUUUUAGAAUUUGUUCUUGCAUUGGUGACUGUGUGUGAUUUAUGAUAUCUUAUCAUUUGAUUAUAUAUAUCUAAUUAUGAUUUUAGAGUAUAAACCUUUAGCUCAUGGAAUAGAGAACUUGGUUUGUAAUUAUUUAAAAGGCCUCAUCAUUUAUUAAAGUACUCAAUAACGUUCACAAAAUUAAACAACAAUUUUAUUUUCUCAAUGUGAUUGAUUAACUUAUUAGAGCUUGUAUCAUGCAGAAAUAAACACACAACACAUGCGCGCGCGCACACACACAACAUAUAGGAUAAUUGUCUAAAAUACUCUAGCUAAUACGUAUCUAUGAAUAUCUCAUUUUAUCCCUACUUUUUUUAUUCUAAUAUACCCCAUUAUUCCACCGUUAUUAUAAAAGUACCAUCGUAGAUUUCUCGGUGCUUAAGUUAAUUUCGGUUUUUCAACGUGGAGCUUGAUAUCUUAGCCACAGUAAAUAAAAAUUAAAAUGCCAAUAUUUGCUAACUAAGAGUACAAUAAGAAAUUGUUGGUGAGUUAGGGGGUAUAUUAGGAAAAGACCAAAAAGUGAAAAUACUGUUUGUCUUGUGCCUAGAAAAGUUAGUUGAUGGUGGGAGGGUAUAUUUGAAAGGCAAAAAUAAGUAAUUUACAGAGAUAAUAGAGUUACAUUACACAGAUUUACUCUAAGCGGUAUAUUAAAAAUAAGCUUUGGAACGUAAAAAGGGUUUUUCAUAUUAGCCUUCUAAGAAGGGUAAUCGAGAAGGUCGAACUCUUUCAGAGAAUUUAUAUAAGCAAGAAUUGCCCCCAUAUAUAUAUAUAUAUAUAUAUAUGUAUGUACACGAUAGUAAUAAUCUUUCUCAGUGUGAAUAAUUUUUUUAUGCAAUUAAAAGUUAGGAGUUUAAGUUGUGCUUCUCAAAAGUUUUGACAUCCAUAAUUUAAUAGAAUAAUAACAUAUUAAUUUUACUAACAAAGUGAGUUAUCUUAUUCCCAAAAAAUGAUUUAAAGGCCGAAUAUUAUUCAUUCUAGACAUUCGAUCACAUUUCAUAUCGGUCAGAUAUUUUAUGCUUCUUCAAUAAAAUAGAAAAGAUACAUACACUCAAGGUUUUAAGUGCAUGUCGGCACGGGUCAUAUCCACCAUGUCGUACCGUGCCAAUGAGAUACCGGCACGAUAUAGACCCCGUACCGAUGGCAUAUUUCAAAACCCUCUAUUUUUUAAACUAGUAAGUAAUUUUCUUAAUAAAGUUCGAAAGAUGUGAUAAAAAGACAUAAUAAAUAGUUAGGAUAUUUUAUUGCUAAAAAAAAUAAAUAUUUCAUACUAUUAUGUGUUGGUACACAAGAAUUUUUUUGACCGGCAUGCAUCGGCACGGCUCAGCACAUACCGUGCCGGCAAGUUUCCGGCACAACUCCGUGCCACGGCAUUUAAAUCCUUGCAUAUAUAUAUAUCUAGAAUAAGUUGUAUGUUCAUGUUCGAAUAAAGAUAUUAAAGGCAGUACUGUUAUCGGGUAAUUUAAGUUUCUAUAGAUAAAUAGUUUAUUUCAUAUUUUUUAACAUGAUAUCAAAGUCGAAGGUCAUGAACUUAAGUGUCGCCAGACUCGUUGCUUUAUUUAAUUUCUUUUCAUUUAGUUCAAGUUUACAUUAUAAGAUAUAUUACAAAAUAUCGACCUGACAUGAGAAAAAAAAUUAGAAUAUAUAUAUGAGUUGAGCCGUAAUACUAUUAAUAAUAUUUGGACUCGUUUGCCAUCGAUUUUUUACCUGUUAGAUUUUUCAUUUUAAUUUAUUCCACCAUUUAGAUCAUACUAUAUAUUCAACUAACCAAUCACUCAAUUUUAGGAAGACUACCACUAAAUUCUAGGGGACCACUAUUAUCUUAACUCUAUAAUUUUUCAUUCAAAGGUUAAACACUCGAUAGCAAAAGAGCCCAAAUACUAUUAAAUAUUCCAGCCUAAUUAUAUAUAUAUAUAUAGAGUCCGGCUAUGGUGCUUGUAAAAGUACUAACUACUUGGUGCUUGUAAGUUUUUAACCGUUAGAUCUAUGUCUUUGAUCAUUUUCAACCGUUAGAUUAUACUAUCCAACCAACUACCCACUCAACCCUAGGGGCCCCACAUCAUUCUCACCGUACAUCCCUUAAUCCAAGAGCCGAAAACUUACAAGUAUCAAUGACUUGGUACUUUUAAAAGCAUAGGAGCUCAAUUCUAUAUAUAUAUAUAUAUAUAUAUAUAUAUAUAUAUAAAAUAAAAUUUUAAAGAAAAACAAUUAUAUUCACAAAGCAUAUAUAUGGAUGCACCAGGUGCAGGAAAUAAUUUCUUCUGUGCUUGUUCGAGUACACUUAUUCCUGCUGUAAAACUUGCUGUUUCUUUUNNNNNNNNNNNNNNNNNNNNNNNNNCGAGAGAGAUCGAUGCACAGCCCGCCGGGCAAGUUUGUCCGGGCACAGUCGGGUCGAUGUUAUGACUGCGCGGGCCGUGUGUGGGUUGGGGCUGGGCAGACUUCCUGCCAACGGCAUUAAAUCCUUGCAUAAAUAUAUCUAAUACAUGAUUUCAUGUUCGACAAUAAAAGAUAUAAAGGCAACUGUAUCACGGUAAUUAAGUUGCUAUAGAUAAAAUAUAUUUUCAUAUUUUAACAGAUAUCAAUCGAAGGCAUGUAAACUUAAUCGCCAGACUCGUUGCUUUAUUUAAUUUCUUUCAUGUGUAGCUCAAGUUACAUAUAAAUAUAUACAAAAUAAUCAGACCUGAAUGAGAAAAAAAUUAGAAUAAUAUAUGAGUGACCGUAAAAGCUAUAAUAAUAUUGGACUCGUUCCAUCGAUUUUUACGUCUGUAAUUUUUCAUUUUAAAUAUCCAACCAUUAGAUCUAUACAAUAUUUAACUAACCCAAUCACUCAUAGGAAGACUACCAACUAAAUUCAGGGACCACUAUUAUCUAACUCUAAUAAUUUGUUCAUCAAAUUAAACACUCGAUACGGCCAAAAGAGCCCCAAAAUAACUUAAAAAUUCCACCUAAUUAUAUAUAAUAUAUAGAUCCGCUAGGUCUGAAAAGUACUAACUACUUGGGCUUUAAGUUUUAACCCGUAGAUCUAUGUCUAUCUGAACAUUUUCAACGUUGAUAUACUAUCCCAACCACUACCGUCCACAACCUAUGGGCCCCACAUCAUCUCACCGUAACAUCCCAUUAUCCAAGACCGAAAACACAAUAGCAAUACUGGUACUUUAAAACAUAGGAGAAUCAUCAUAUAAAUAUAUAAUUAAUAUAAUAUAAAAAAAAAAAAAAAAAAAAAAAAAAAAAAAAAAAAAAAAAAAAAAAAAAAAAAAAAAAAAAAAAUUAAUAUAUAAAAUAAAAUAAAGAAAAACAAUUAUAUUCAACAAAAGGCAUAAAUGAUCACCAGGUGCACGGAAAAUAAUUUCUUCUUGCUUGUCUCGUUGUUACACAUUAUUCCUGCUGUAAAACUGCUGUCAUUUUAACAUUCGCUGCAUUGGACACCUGCUCAACUACCAACCCCCAUAAGGUUUAGUUUGUUCAUCACAUAACGAAUUGAUGGUGUAUUCUAUAAUUGUAUGAGGGCCUCCACACACAACGCAUUUGAAUUCAAUCUUUCCUGUAUGAAUAAGCUAUUUGGCCCUGGAAUGUACUCUAAUAAAAGAACAAAAGUCAAAUUCCAAAAAUGCUUAUAUAUCAGUAUAUGUGUAUUAAAUGCUACCUUCUUUUUAAUUUUAUAUAUAUAUAUAAUAUAAUAUAAUAUAAAUAAUAUAUAAUAUAUAAUAUAUAGUUAAGUUAACGUUAAAUACACUCAACGGAAUAUUAAUAACUAUAUAAUAUAUAAAUUGUAUAAUUAAUAUUUAAAUAUAAUAUAAAAAUUAAAUUAAAAAUAAUUCAAUUAUAUAAUACUAAUAGUAAAUAUAGUAUACUAACUCAAAUUUAAAUAGUUGUUUGCAACCAAUAAUUAUAUAGCUUAUUUAUUUAUAAAAUUAUAUAAGUGUAGAUAUAAUAUAUGUUGAAUAUUUUUCUAUAUCUAAUCCUGAUAAUUCCAAAAAUUUACUAUAAUUUUAAAACUAAAAAAAUAUCAAAAUAAAAAGUUAUUAUAACAAUAAAAUAUUAAUAUAUAGAAUAAGAUAAUAUACUAAAUAAGUUAUUGCCAAAAAAAGAUAUUGAAUCGAUAAAAAAUAUUAAUAAAAAAAUAAAAUAUUGAUAGUCGAGAGAAAAAGAGAAUUAAAAGUUUAUGUCAUACAAUUAUUUAUUUAUUAAGGAAAAAGAGGAAUUGAAAUGCGUUUAUCUACAUACCAAAUAUUAAAAUACUUCUUUUAUAUAUAAUAUAAAAAUAUACAUAUAUAGAGAGAAAUAGCUACUAUACUCUUAUAAUAUAGAGUUAUUCGUGUUCAUGAAAUUGUUUUGAUGAUGAUAAUUCCUAUUGACAACCACCACCGUUAAAAGAUCUAGAGCAUUGAAACUUAAAAAAAAAUAAAUUUAUAACUUUUAAAUUAUAUAACAAUCUACAAUGGGCAUAAAAUACUAAACAAAAUGAACAACUUCCAUGAUCAGAUCUCAAUCAAAUCGAGUAUUUAAUGCUUAUUUAGAUAGUAAAAUAAAAUUCUAAUAAAAAAUUCAACGUAUUUGACUUCUUUACCAAUCCGUAAAACUAAAGCAAAAUUGAUAUCGGACGUUAAAAUUGCCACUUUGAACUCUAUGACUACGUAAAUAAAUAAUAUCGAAAAAAUAAAAUUUGAUUCAGACGCUUUCAAUGCCUAAAUAUUUAACGGCUUGGAUUACGAUUCAUAAACUUAUCAAUCGGAAACGAAACAUAGAGUAUGAGAAGGCGAUCAUAUACUCAUAAGAAUACAGUAGCAAACUCUCUCUCUCUCUCUCUCUCUCUCUCUCUCUAUAUAUAUAUAUAGCAAGAUGUCAUGUUUGAAAUUUAUUAACUUAGCAAUAAUGUUUAUACUUAGAUUUGUCAAAAAUUAAGUAAAUCUCUGCUUAUGCUGAUUUGGAAUAUUCUUUGAUAGAAAAUUAUGUUUGGAACGAACUUAAAAGUUAAAACACCUGCUUUUUAUUUUACAAAGAAAAGAUAAAAGGAGAUUUUACUGGUUAAUUAAACGAUAUAUGAGACGUACUAUGAUCUCAUGCAUGAAACUAACAAGGCUAGCUAAAUAGAAGUGGCUUUAAUAUCAUAUUGUUUAGAAGUUAAUUUUAUAGCAAAUUAAUGAUUUUCUUAUCGAAUUUUUGCUUUCUUAAGUGGUACCUACCCGUUAUAUUAAUUGAUCUUUUUGUUUUCUAGUGAUGAAUUAUUCAUAAAUAUUUUUAUGGGAAAGAAUUUUCUGCUCGAGCAAUAUUAUGCUUAUAAAUAAAUUCUAUAUUAUUGUACAAAUAUUCGAAUGCAACAACAGUAAAUUUUCAAGAGAAAUGUGGAUCACAAUAGAAUAGAUAUGAUUCACAAAAACAAUAAAAAAAAAAAUCCAAGUUGCUACUAGAUAAUAUACUUUUUCAUGUAAGCUCCUAUGCUUUUUAAAAGUACAAAAUUAUUAAUCCUUGUAGAUUUUUAGUCCUUAAACGAAGAAAAAAAAUAUACAGUAAUAUAUAUAUAUAAAUUGAGCUCUUAUAUUUUUAAAAGUAUCAAAUUAUUAAUAUUUGUAGAUUUUCAACCUUUGGACGAAGGGAUGUGAUAAUUUAUUAUUAUUAUUAUUAUUAUUUAGAGAACUCUUCGUAUAAUUUUUUUUGAAAAUAAACUUAGCUGAAAAUGUCAAUUAAUUAGAAUUCGAAUUUGAGAUCUGAAAUAUCAACCAUAUCAAAUAUUUUCUCACUUGUACUUGUAAAAAUCGGUUGAUAAUUUAUUUAUUUAUUAUUAUAGUGCGAUGGGAUGGUUUAGAGUUGAGGCAUCCCAUCUCUGUCAUGACUCAUGAGUUACUCACGUAUUGUUACACAGAUGUAUAUUAUAUGUAGGAUUCUCUCUCUUUCUCCCUAGGUUGUAUAACUUAACGGUCACGUCGUUUCCUUUAUAUUUGUUUGGAAAAACUUCAAACACCUUUCUUGUUAUUUCACUUUUUCUUAGUUUAGUAUAUGUGAUUUAAAGUAUACCAAGUUAGUAUCCUGUAAUUUUAUACUUUUUCAAUUUAGUAUCCUGUAGUUUAAAGUGUAUCAAGUUAGUACCAUGUGGUUUCGCACUUUCUCACUUUAGUAUUCUGUGAUUUAAUAUUUUAUUAAGAGAAAAAUAAAACCACAUGCUACUAACUUGAUACAAAAAUAAAAUCACAGGGUACUAAUAUGAUACAAAAAUAAAACAACAGAAUAUUAACUUGAUACACUUUAAACUAUAGGGUACUAAAGCGAGAAAGUGCGUUUUUUACCACAGGGUACUAACUUGAUACACUUUAAACCACAGGGUACUAAAAUAAAAAGUGCGAAGCCACAGGGUACUAAAAUAAUAUUUCUCUUAAAUUAAAUCUUGUACCUAAUUGCAUACAUUCACUACAACAAUUUCAUUCUAUUACAUCAAUUUGAUUGCAUCGAAAAUUAAAUUAUUGCAAUAUAUGAUUAUCGCAAUAAUUUGUGUUGUUAUAAUAAUACACAUUAUAUUAUUUAGCCAUUUAUUGCCAUAAGAUUGAUUGCAAUGAUUUGCAACUAUACUAUCAGUUGCAAAAAUUUAUUAUCACAGCUAAUAAUUUCCUUCUUUUUUUUUUUGAGAAAAACAACUAAUAAUUUUCAAUUGCAAUAAUAUUUAUUGUUGUAAAAGAAUGAAUUUCUAGUAGCAAUUUUUUAUUACAUUUUAAGCUUUCACAUAUGCAAACCUUCGAAAUUAAUUAAGAUGAAAGGCGCACUAACAAGCUGCUAAGUAAAAGUUAAACAUUCAUUCUAAUUGUGUCUGACCAUUUCUAGUAAAUGAAUUGGAUCUUUGCAUUACGCCCAAACGUUACUACAAAUAGUAACAAAAUGAAAAAGUAACAUACACAACGGGUAAAAUUCAAAAUUACGUAACGGUGUUUCAUAGACUUUCAACGAAACUAAAAUCCUGUUGCAUAUGAUACCAAUUCAGAGCCUCUGCUCUGAUACCAUGUAUAUGAAAUAACUAUUAUUCUCCGGCUAUGCAAGUACAUAAAUGCAUAUAUAGGUAACAAUACAAUGUAUACAAAUUUGUCCACAAAUUUUUUUUUUUUUUUUUUUUUUUUGAGAGAGACAGGUAGCACGCUACCCGUUUUGUUUAUUUCAUUUAGAAAUAAACUUAGCUAGAAAUGUGAAUCAACUAGGAUUCGAACUUGGGUCUCGGGUACCAACCACCAAGCCCUUUGCCACUUGCUCUAGGGACAGUCGGUAAAAUUGUCCACAAAAUUAUGUUAAGCAAAUACGUACUAUAUUAUGUGCACCCACAAACAAAACACACUCGUUUCUUUAAGUUUCGGGCCGGAUCUUGAGAGCCCAAAAUCAUACCUAAAUUUUUAAGCCCGAAUAUGCCAAAGCCCGACCCGGCACGGCAUGGAUCGAUUUGGCAUGGAGCCCGAUUAGAAGGAGGGGUGAAAGUGGUUAGGACAAACUCCGAUCAGAUUCGACACCAGGUUCAAUAGGAUGUAAGUAUGAAUGUCAAAAUUUAGCAAUCGACACAUAUUUGUAUCCGAAGAGAAUUUUUUAAAAAUUGAUGCGAAUAUUUAUAGUUUCUUAAAAAUCCGACCGUAAUCAAUUGUUUUCAUUCCUUAGAGCUAGGAGGGAUGUUAAUAAAUAGUGUAGGGAGAUGAAUGUAGUUUUUCAUUGGGUUCUUCGUUUAUUUUACUAUAAGUCUCAAAUUAAAAUUGUACUUAUAUUCGUUAAAAUAUUAAAUAUUAUUGAGUAAAAUAUAGGUAUAUGAAGUUUGAAUAAGAGUGCGAGCCUUUAUUGCAUUGCGUGUGCAUAUGAGUAUUGGUUAUUAUCUGAAUAAUAUCGGAAUAUAAAUCUGACUCAUAUAUAAAUCUGAAUCCGCAUUCAGUAUAUAUGGUAAUGAAAAUUUAGCAUCCGAUACAAAUCCGCAUUCGAAUUCGAAUAUAUGAAUGCUGAUAUGGUUUUGUCAAAGAUAAGACCGUAUUCGACUGCUUUCACCCCUAAUUAGAAGUCAUGAGCUACAUGCCGCGACAGACCCGUUUUCUGAAUAGGUUGGCCCAUCGCGACCCGCGGCCCAGACCAACUGGGCCGUGUCGUGCCACGUGGGAAUAUGAGCCCACCAAAUUUUCUCUAUUUGAAAAUUUUAAAAAAUUUGUUCAUCUUAUUUUUAACCUUUUAAUAUUAUUAUUUGUUCAGUAAAUAGAUUUUAGAUCGUUAUGUAAACAGAGUUAAGCGCUGCUACACGGUAAUCUCACUUUGAUGAAGAGGAACUAAUUUGUUAGAUUUUUAUGUAUUUAGUGAGAAAUUUGAUGUUACCAAUAGGAAUUGUUUGCAGUCACUUUUUUUUUUUUUUUUGUUGAUUCAUGCAUACCAAAAGAGAGUUUUGGGUUAAUAUAUUUUCUAAAAUUUUUAUAUUUUAUCCCCCCUUGAAUGUAGACACAAGUGUGAGUUAUUACAACUGCAGCAUUUCACACAUUGUUAUCUCCUUUGUGGUGCAUUCAAAGCUAUGGAGGAUACUUUGAGUUUGUUGGUUGUGUUUGCGUCGUCAAUCGGAUUAGUCGGAUCAAUUCAAGAUUAUAUCCAAAGAGGUAGAAUUUGUAGGCCACGAUGGUUAAUAUCUAUAUCUAGGCCUAUUUCUUAUUUUUUGAAUAAUAUAGUAUCAGAGUCAGUUUUAAACCCUUCAAUUCUGUCAGGUCGUGCGUUCAAUUUUCAUUUUUGACAUUUAACGGGUUUCACGUGUCUUUCAUAUUUAUCAUACACGUGAGUGGGAUUAUUAAUAUAUAUUUUGAUAAUUCUAAACCUCUUUGUUUAGGGUAAGUUCUUAUCUUCUAACUUAUCUAUCAAAUCCACGUGUCUUUCAUAUUUAUCAUGCACGUGAGUGAGGGUGUUAAUAUAUAUUUCUAGACCCGUGUCCUACAAGAUCGAUCUUUUGGGUAAUGUGAGUGAUCUUCUUUUACUAAUUUUGUUUACGAUCUUGGGCAUCAGUAUGUAUUUAGUUUUGGUAAUUUUACGCAUCAUACAGCUGCAUCAGUUGAAAGACAGGGAACCAGAUUGGUCCUUGUUAGUACAUGGUUAGACAUUCAAAAAGUCGUAGUUCUAUUCACCCAUGAAUUCAAACACAAAUCACAUCCGCGCGUAUUAUUCACCGUGUUCAACCACCGGUCAUGAAGUCGGAAAAAAAAAAAAAAAAGCGAAAGAAGAGCAGGUUAUAGGAAAAGGUCAUAAACUGCGAAAUCGAGUUCUGAACAGGACUUGGUAAGUACAGCUGAUCAAUUUCUGCAUGACUGCAGCUCAUACCUGCCGAAAGUGGUGGACAGCUUCAGCAUGUGGUUUAUCGUCGCAAUCCACUUCUUGUACAGCAUGUAGUCGUCGAGUUUGAGCUCAAUCUUUCCUCUGCUCGUCGUCAUGUCGACGGCGUAAGAUGCAUCUUCUUCCUGCCUCGGCUUUUCUGCGCUGCUGGUCUGUAAGUCGUGGACAAUACCUGUUUUUCACUCACAAUUUUAGCCCCAGAUUUUCCGCAGAAAAAUUGAAGACGAAAUUGGAAUGCGAGUUUUCAGCUUACUCUCUUCCGCAGCGGAAAAUGCCGUCAGCAUGCUGAUCUUUUUGAUCUUCAAGAUGAUUUUUCCGUCUCCGUUUAGGACUAUCGAGACGAAUCGCAAUCUGCACUUGCCUGUUCAUUAAACAAGACCAAACUGAGAUGUUGUAAGCUGCAAGGAAAACAAUUGCAAUUGCCGUCCGAUCGCGCAUUUACCGUCAGGUGUAGUGACGCGGAUUUCGUCGCCCUUCGCCAGCGAUGCCCUGCACCUUCCGAAAUCGAAGUCGAAUUCAUCGUACAAAAGCGUCGGCGAACUUUCUCUUAUUUUCUCCCUGUGGCCUGUCCUUCCUCUCAGUAUCGCCGCGCCUCGCAGCGCUGACAAAUUUCAGAACAAUAAUCACUGCUGUUCUUACAUUCUUUAGAGUCUAAAUUUUAACAAUUUAGUCUCGAAGUUCAUUCGAAUUUUCGUGAUAAUGUCGGCAUUGCGCUAAAUUGUUGCAGGGGCUAAAGAGAGAGAGAGAAAGAAAGAAAGAGCAUUACAUGUUGCUGCAGCAGCAGUGAGGGUAAUGAUGUUGUUCGCAUCGGUGGCGGUCAUGGCGGCGUUUACAGCGGAAUUGAGCUGCUCUCGUUUCGCGCCUGUGGCUUCUGCUACGUGCGCGCACUGCGCUGCGACCAACGCCGCUGCUGACGCGACUGCAGUCUCUUUUAGGGAGCUCGGUUGGCCCGGUUCAGCAUUCUCUGCCGCAAUCGCCGCGAGAGCAGCUGCGAUCCCUGCGACAGAUACAGCUGCAUGCACCUCAGCUCUCCGCAGCCGCUCCGUCUCUUUCCUCUUCUGCUUCAUUUCCGUCACCCAUUUCUUUAUCGAGAUGCCAUUCCAAUGCGUGAUCUUAAAUCGAUUUACCCAUUUCUUUCGUAAGCAAAGAUCGUAAUCCAGCUCCGGAUGAAUCGCCUUUUGUAGCCAUAUCCACGACUGAACGAAAAAAAGAAGAAGAAGAUGAUGAAAAGUUACAGCUGAUCAGUUCUCAGAGAAACAGUUUUUUCAGAAUUCGAAUUCGCUUCCGUCACCUUUAGAUCAUCGAACUUCCACUGCGGAGUCGACUUCGCCUCUGCAUCAUCCACCGUAAAGCUGUGAUUGCUUCUCUGCGAAUUCGAAGAGAUUAUCGGCUUAAAUUUCAACACACUCAUGGCUUGUUUUCUUUAUUCUGAUACGUAAAAUCGGUGCAUGCAUGCAAGGCUAGUUUUUCUUACUGCUAAAGGAGCUGCUCUGUCGCAUUCGAACUCCGCGAUUGAUUUCUGAUCCGUCAGCGUCAGCAUCGAGCAAUCCCGCGCUUUCGGGUGGAAAACUUGGAUAGCCGAGCUGCACCACGAAUUCGAGAGCAGAUCUGUCGGUUCGGGGGAUGCUUCGCGGACCGCUAACUUCAUGUCACAAUCCAUUUUCUACAGAGAGAGAGAGAGAGAGAGAGAGAGAGUGAGAGAGAGGGUACUCUCUUUGUUUCUCUUGCAAAAUUUUCAAUUGUAGUGCAAUGAGUCCUAGAUACAUUUUAUACUCAUGCAUGAACCUCUCUUUGGUGUUAAUAGUGUUAUUUACAGCUUUAAUAUUAGAGCUAACUUAUAGAUUCAAAACCACUUUAACCUAACUUAUUAGAUUCAAAAGCCCUAAAAGGAAAAGGGUUUAAGAGAAUCAAAGUGAAUGGAUCUAUGUAUAUAAUUAAGCCAUUAAAUAUGCCACUAAAAAGUAGAUAAGUGGGAGUAGAUCAUUACCACCACCAAUGCUUUGAGUGAAAAUAGAGAAAUUAAGAAGGGAAUCACAAUGGAGUAGUACCCUAUGAGAAAUGUGUGGAGGACCCCCUCAACUUUAAUUGAACUCUAAUUUUGUUAAAAACGCGAUUAAAGCUAUUGAAUCCGAUGGAAUCGUCUGCUAAGUUGUUUGACUAAAAUUACUCAAUUCUGAAAAAUCAAAAGUUAAGGGAUGUCAUUCGAAAGUAUUUUACGUUGGUGGGUCUAUUUCAAAAUGGCCUAUAGUUGGGGGGUCUCCUCACAAUUUAAACAUACAUAGGAUGCUAAAACAAGUCAUUUUGAUUGGUGAGAAAAGUGGGGGCAAAAAAUGAGCCACUACACGUGCUAACCAUGAAUGUAACUUUGAUUAAAAUUUAAAGGGGUUACAAAUGGCUUUUCUUUAUGGUUAGGGGUGUAGUGUUCCACUACUUUCACAUCUAGCAAUGGAGAAUUUUUUUUAAAAAAAAAGCAAUAGAGAAUAAUUUUAAAAAAAAGAAAAAUAAAAAGGAAAUGUGAUGUACUUUCCAAAUCUCGUGGCCAAACGUGCAUUAAUUCCUGGGUGUUGCUAUGAAAACCCCAUGACAAGAGUAAUUUAUGUUUCACUUUUGUAUGUUUGUAAAUCUUGCUUAAUUUUGAGGGAUUCUUUGUAAAUAUUAGUAAUGGAGUAGGGAAUGAUCAAUUUAUAGAUUUUGAUAUUAGCCAAAUUAAUAUACAUAGGUAGCAUUAUUGAAGUGUCUUUUCAAGGAUUAUUAUGGGUUUAUUCGCAGUUAAUUAAUGUAACAGAGUGUUAGGCAAUUAGAAAAUUCAGGAGGUUCUACUAAAGUAUGAAGUAGAAAUGUGAUUUGGAGUAGAAAUUUCAAUUUGCACCUUUUAUUUUUGUUGUAGAAAGGCCAGCUAGCUAGUAAAAAGAUUCUGUAUAGUUUUUCUAACAACUCUAUUCAAACAACACUUUAUCAAACAACACUACACUCUACAGUAAGACCAAACAUAUCCAAAAUAUAAAACAAAUCAAUAAAGAAAACAUAUAUUAGUAGACAAAACAUAUAAUGAAACAACAGCCGAGUUGUAACAGAGCAUUGGAUAUCAGUAGAUAAUAUUCCGAGAGCUUCUAUCGUAGCGUGAAAAUAGAGAUGUUAUUUGAGGUCCACAAGUAGAAGUUUUUAAUUUGCGGCGUUUGCUUUAACUAUUAAGAAGAAUUUUGUCUAAUUUUUCUUCUGAUAGCUCUAUUCAAGCAACACUUCAUCAAAUAGCACUACACUCUACAAUAGGGCCAAACAUGUCCAGAAUAUGAAACAAUGUAGCUGAACAGUGCGAUCACAUUACGUUUGAUCAAUGGAGAAAACAUAUAAUGGAACAAUAGCCAAGUUGUAAUUUUUAAACCAAGAAGAUAAUGUUUGGCUAUCAUUAGUUGCAACUGCUUUUGAUGUUGAGUUUUAGUGUGUCUCAAGGAAGAUUAAGGGGGAGUGAGCUGUUCCACAUUUUCUUAAUCCCUCACUUCACACACAAAGUAUACAAAGCAAUCUUUAUAAUAAGGGUGGAAUAAGUAGGGCUAGUUGAGCAACUCUCAUCUAGGCUCUUAAAGAAGUUCUAAAUCAUUUUAUAGAUGUUCUCAUGGGUCCUUUUGAACACCUUUAGAGCAAUGGUGAGUGUUGAAGCUUUUUGAUGUAAUAUUCCAACUAGAGUUGGGUUGUUUCUUAAAGUGCAUUGAAUGGUUGAUGCCUCUUAAUCAUUAUGCAUGCUAGUUUUAAAGAUUUAUUAAUUCUCUAAUCUUAUCUAUAAGUGCAUCAUGAGCCUUUAGAAACUUGAAGGGGACAUCAUAGCAAAGGGCUUUAUUGGUGGCUUGUAGUAUACCAAAAUGCUUUGCACAAGCACUGGCACACCUAAAAAGUGGGGUCCUAAAAAGUUGUUUGGAUACUUUGUCGAUCUAAUUAAACUUUUGGAAACUUAAUCUGUCGGCGCUUCAUUUAGAAUCAAGUGGGAGUUGUUGGUUAUUUUUAUUGGCUAAAAUAAGUACAACUUUUAAUAAGUUGAGUUGGUCGGCUCAAUAAGUUGAGUGAGAUUGUAGCCUAUAAUAUGACUCAGAUCCAAUUUUCCAACUCUUCAUACUAUAUGAGAAAGCUCAAUAUAAUGCGGUGGGCGAGGUGAUAUCGUGAGUUCACUCUGUACGCAAACUAGAAAGUGCAUGAAAAUUUCAAUUUAUUAAGAAUUUUUUUUGGCAUUUUCAUUACUACGAAUGUGGCUCCAAACAGAGCAAAAUCUCUGGCAUUUUCUGUUCUUCCCAUAGUUUUUUGAGUUGUGUUGGAAUUGAAACUUGGCUCGAGAAGAGAUGGCCCGGUCGGCUCUGUUCUUCUUUUUAGCAAUGCUUCUAGAUCCAUGCACAUAUACAUAGAGGAUCGAACUCGUGACCUCUUCUUUGCAGGUCAAUAAUUGCAUGUAUUAUGUUUUAUUGGCCCAAUAACACUUCGUGAUUGGCCCAUAAUAAAGUAAUGAUGUGGCCCAUUAUAAAAGCCGAUAAAUUGGCCCCUUAACUAAAGGCUCUUCAAAAGACUAGUUGGAAUUGUUUGACUCAUCUAAUGCUAAAAGGUUCAAAGGGUUGGCAACCAAUAGCAUGUACAUACCUUCAAAACAUUUCAAUAGACUAAAUAAUUAUCAAACUUCGAAAAAGUUGGAUUAUUAUCUGUACAACAGCAUAUAUUUUUUCUAUUCGUGCUUUAUCAUCAACACGUAACAUAUUUUCUAUCGCCAACUUCCUGGACGGAGCCUAAAUGUGCUGGCCCCUUGCAUAGUAUAAUUGGGUUAGUUAAUAGAAGUACAAAAUGCAUGUCAAAUUUCUUCAAAUCCAUGAUUAGCAGAGAUAUUGCUUCUUCGUUUUCUAUAUGAACCCAAGAAAUUACCAUAUUGAACUGAAUAAAUGCAAUCAAUCUUCAUGAUAUCUAACAGCGAGUAUUUCUAAAAAAUUCCUACUUACAGCGGAUUUAAUCAUUGCUAAGGCUCUAGAAUUUAUAAUAAUUUCUAGCAUCAUGAUAAAUGAUACUGAUAGAAGAAUAAUUGCCAAACUUUAAGAAUAUCUACAAAAGAAACUUAAUUUCCCAUGGCUCAAGGUGUCAAAUGGUCUCAAUUAAGUUCUCUCCAUUGUUCAUGAAUCUAUAUUUCGACCAUCCGUACAGAACUAUAAGCUGUUUGAGUAAUACUGUAGAAAAAAAAAAAGAAAGUAAGGAAGAAUAAAAAAAAACCCCUUCACCGAGCAUAUUUUGACUUGAAUCUUAUAUACUAUACUAUAUAUAUAUAUAUAUUUAAAUUCCUAGUGUAAGAAAGCAAGAUUUUUUUAUUUGUCAAACAUUCUAAUACAAAUUAUAAUUGCUGAAAAUAGAAGCAGAAGUUGUCUAAAUUUUCAAUAUCUAUCCAUCCUUACUAACCUAGAUUUUUAUUCUCGUGUGCGCGCGCACGCACACACAUAUAUAUGUAUAGAGAGAGAGAGAGAGAGCGCGCUAGACUUGUGUUCUUUUAGAAAAACUGUGGCUUCUGUGCUAUUAAAUCAUUUAUGAUGUUGUGACUUUCGAAUUAACGAACGGCUCAGUUAGACUUAAUUUAGAGUAUACUAUUUAAAGUAUCUAAGAAAUAAGUUUCGUAAUUUUUUUUAUAUGAUUUUCCUAGUGAUCGACGGGCCGAAAAUCAAUAAUUUUUACAAUUCUGGUGAGCCGUUUCUAAGUUUAACGAUGUAAAUAUAUCCAAAUCAUGUCAAAAUUCGAUAGAAAAUUUUUUAUACUAUAUAAAACAAGAUCAAUUGAUCUAAAAUUUACUGCCAUAUCAUCAAUUUUUAUAAGAUUUUUAUUUUCAACCAUUGAUUUUGAGCUCUUUUGAUCAUUCGGUAAAUAAUAUAGAAAAUUUAUAAAAUUUAUUUUUUAGGCAUAUAUUUCAAAUGCUCUAGAUCAAGUCUAGCAAAGCCCAUUGUACAAUAAUUCCAAAAUUUUAUUGUUAUAUCAUAACUUUUUAUGAGAUUUUUAUUUUCAACCGUUGAUGUUUAGUCUUUUCGAUCACUAGGUAGAUGACAUCGAAAACUGCAAAAUUUAUUUUCUAGAUAGUUCAAAUAUGCUAAAUCAAUUCUAAUGGAGUUGAUCGUCAAUUCGAACAUUACAUCAUCGAAAACGGCUUAGGAGCACAGAGGCCUCCGUACUCCUAAUAGCACACAAGACCUACUAUCUAUAUAUAUAUAGUCCGGCUACAAUAUUAUCGAUAGCACCAAGCACUUGGUGCUAUCAAGUUUUCUGCCAUUAGAUUAACCCCUUUGACCAUUUUCAUCCGUUAAAUCAUACUAUUCAACCAACCACUCACUCAAUCAUAAAGGAUCACUAUCAUCUUAACCGCACAUCCUUUUAUCUAACGGCUGAAACGCAAUAACACCAAACGCUUGGUAUUAUUGAUGCUAAUACAAUAGCAUAAUUCAUAUAUAAAUAUAUAGGCCGUGGCUAUUACACUAUUAUGAGUAUUGGAGCCCUCGUACUCAUAAGUUAUUUUCGAUGAUGGAGCUUCCGAAUCGAUGAUUCACUCCGUUAAAUAUGAUCUAGAGUAUUUGAAACUUCUAAAAAAUAAAUUUCGUAAAUUUUCGAAAUCAUAAUAAAGUCCAUCAAGCGGGCAUAAAAUGAACGAUUAAAAUCGAACGACGUCCUAAAAAAGGAUGAUCGGAUCCUUCAAUUCAAGAUCGGAGCUAUUGAUCUUUAUCUAGGUAGUGAAUAGAAUUUUCUAUCAAAAAUUCAACAAAUUCUGAUUCUUUUACACCGUUAAACUAGCAAGUAUCCCAUACCGGCCAUUAAAAAUUAUCAAAUUUGUAACCUCUUGAUCGUAAGGUAAAUGAUGUCGAAAAAUUAUAAAAUUUGAUUUCUAGAAGUUUUAAAUGCUAUUGAUAGCAAAACGCUCUUUUUGCUAUCAAGUUUUUAACCCUUGGAUGAGAAAUUGUAGGGUUAGGAUGAUAUUAGUCAGUUAGAGUUGAGUGGUCCCCCUAGGGUUAAGUGGUCCCCACUGGUUUAUAGUAUUUAAUCCAAUGAUUAGAAAUGAUAAAAAGAGUUGAUCCAAAGGCUAAAAACUUGAUAGCAAAAAUAACGUUUUGCUAUCAAUAGUAUUCUAGCCAUAGGGCUACUAUACAAUUAUGAGUAUUGGGCCCCUCGUACUCAUAAAUUGUUUUCGAUGAUGGAGCUUCCGAAUCGACGAUCCACUCGGUUAAAUAUAAUCUAGAGUAUUUCAAACUUCUAGAAAAUAAAUUUUGUAAUUUUUCGAAAUCAUAAUAAUGUCCAUCAAGCGGGCAUAAAAUGAACGGUCAAAAUCGAACGACGUUUUAAAAAUGGAUGAUCGGAUCCUUUAAUUUAAGAUCGGAGUUAUUGAUCUUUAUAUAGGUAGUGAAUAGAAUUUUCUAUCAAAAAUUCAAUCUAUUUGGAUUCUUUUGCACCGUAAAACUAGCAAGUAUUCCAUACCGGCCGUUAAAAAUUGCCAAUUUUGUGAGCUUUUGAUCGUAAGGUAAAUGAUGUCUAAAAAUUAUGAAAUUUGAUUUUUAGAAGUUUUAAAUGCUCUAUAAAAUGUUUAACGGUAUGGAUCGUCGAUUCNNNNNNNNNNNNNNNNNNNNNNNNNAAGAAUAGUGAGUAGUUAUAAAUAGAAAAUAAUUAUAUUGCCUAUUAUAUUACAUUUGAAUUUUAAAAUUUUAAAUUUAAAUAUAUAACUUUUAAAUUUCAAAAUUUUAAAAUUUAAAUUUAGAUUUUUAAAUAUCAAAUUCGAAAAUUCAAAGUUCAAAAUAUUAAAUUUUAAAUUUUAAAAUUAAAUCUCAAUUUAAAUAUAUAAAAUAUCAAUUUUAAAUUUAAAAAAUUUAAAAUAUCAAUUUAAAAUUAAAAUUAUAAAAUUUUAAUUUUAAGAUUGCAAAUUAUAGAUUUUUAAAAUUUAUAAUUAAAAUUUAAAAUUUUUAAAAAUUAAAUAAGAUUAGAAACAGUUGUUCCCAUCCCUAUUCCCACACAAGGAUAGAAUAACUAUCCCACCCCUUAGCGGGUUAUCCUGAGAUAACAUGAGAUAACCCGUUAAGGGGUGGGAUAGUUAUCCCGGCCCCUUUUUUUGUGUUUGGGUAUAAGGCUCCUUAUUCCCCCUCUUAUCCCCAACCAAAUACCCUCAGAGUAAAUUGCAAAUAUAUUACUACAAAGUUCAACUUUCAUAUAUUGUCUUUGUAAAAGUCCUAAUAUAUAUUUUCAAAUAUAUCCUCCGAUUUGUUACCGUUAAAACACCAUUUAUUUCAUAAGUAAAAUAAUUUUUUUGCCAUCACAAAUAUGUCACUCCAAAAGUCCCAACUAUUAAUUGAAGAAGGGGUAAAAAGAUUAAUUCAUCUCAUUAACUAACUAGGGUUAAAUAUUUUAUCUAUGGUUAACCAAUUUCUUUCUAACAGAUCCUAACAGUAUGGAUAUAUUUAAAAAUAUCAGAACUUUUGUAAAAACAAUAUAUGAUAGUUAAAUUUUGUAGAGAUAUGUUUGUAAUUCACUAUGUUUGUAAGAAUCGGUAUAAAAUUAACCCUAAAGAAUAAUAAGUGAGAAGUAUUUGGUGUAGAUCCGGAAUAAUUCUUUGUAAAUAGCCAAUUAAUCAUUCUCAGAUGAUGUAUUAGCAGCACAUCUUUGAUGCAGUCAUCGAGUCUCUCGAUAGACUUUUCAAAAAUACUCUUUUUGAAAAAAAAUAGUUAUUUAGAAAAUAAGCAGUUUACAGAAUUUCAAUUUUUUUUUUUUUUACUUCUUAUAUUUGGUUGUGUAUAAAAUAUUAGAUAAUAAAAAA